UUGACCUCGGAUCCAGGUAG
rnacentral:rRNA from 1 species